UCCGUACUGGUGUAUCGGUAACAUUUCCGCCUCUCAAAUCAGAUCGCGGUAGCGCAGGGUUCGACUCCCUGGUACGGAA
rnacentral:tRNA from 2 species